rnacentral:rRNA from 1 species
AUUGAACGCUGGCGGCAGGCCUAACACAUGCAAGUCGAGCGGGGUUUUCGGACCUAGCGGCGGACGGGUGAGUAAUGCGUAGGAAGCUACCCGAUAGAGGGGGAUACCAGUUGGAAACGACUGUUAAUACCGCAUAAUGUCUACGGACCAAAGUGUGGGACCUUCGGGCCACAUGCUAUCGGAUGUGCCUACGUGGGAUUAGCUAGUUGGUGAGGUAAUGGCUCACCAAGGCGACGAUCCCUAGCUGGUUUGAGAGGAUGAUCAGCCACACUGGAACUGAGACACGGUCCAGACUCCUACGGGAGGCAGCAGUGGGGAAUAUUGGACAAUGGGCGCAAGCCUGAUCCAGCCAUGCCGCGUGUGUGAAGAAGGCCUUCGGGUUGUAAAGCACUUUCAGUUGGGAGGAAGCGUUGUGUGUUAAUAGUACACAGCGUUGACGUUACCAACAGAAGAAGCACCGGCUAACUCUGUGCCAGCAGCCGCAGUAAAAC